GCAAGCCUGGUCUAACGGUUAUGAUUUCUGUCUAACACACAGACGGUUCCCGGUUCGAUUCCGGGGGUUUGUA
rnacentral:tRNA from 1 species